rnacentral:rRNA from 1 species
UCGCCGUUCCUCGUCCGCGCCGUCGAGACCGACCGGGACGGCCCGACGCGCAGCGGGGCGGGCCUGUGGAGCCUCCACCUGGACGAGCCGGACGCUGGAUGGGCGGCCCACGCCGGCAUGUUCGACUACAUCGUCGUCUCCGCCGGCAGCUGGUUCUACCGGCCGUCCGUGUUCUACGAGCGUGGCCGCCUCGUCGGGUGCAGCGGCUGCCUCGCGCCCAACGUCACCGACCUCACGCUCCGGUACUCCCUGCGGCUGGCGUUCCGGAGCGCGCUCCGCGCGGCCGUUGGCGCGCCGGGCGGCCGCUCAAGGACGGUCAUCGUGCGGACGAUCUCGCCGUCGCACUACGAGAACGGCACGCGGAACGAGGACGGCGACUGCGUCCGGACGCGGCCUCUCCGGCGCGGCGAGUGGGAGAUGGACGAGGGGCAGAAGGAGAUGCGCCGGAUACAGGUCGAGGAGUUCGCGGCGGCAGAGGCUGCGGCGAGAGGGAAAGGGGUGAGGAUGCUGCUCAUGGACGCGACGGAGGCCAUGGCGCUGCGGCCGGACGCCCACCCGAGCAAGUACCGGCUGUGGGAGUCGGAGAAGUUUACGGUGUCCCGUGACUGCCUACAGUGGUGCCUGCCCGGCGCCAUGGACGCGUGCAACGACAUGCUGCUUCACAUGCUGAUCGGUUAA